CCUACGGGGGGCAGCAGUGAGGAAUAUUGGUCAAUGGGCGAGAGCCUGACCCAGCCAAGUCGCGUGAAGGAUGAAGGAUCUAUGGUUUGUAAACUUCUUUUAUAUGGGAAUAACGUGAGGAACGAGUUCCUUUUUGUAUGUCCCCUAUGUAUAAGCAUCGGCUAACUCCGUGCCAGAAGCCGCGGUAAUACGGAGGAUGCGAGCGUUAUCCGGAUUUAUUGGGUUUAAAGGGUGCGUAGGUGGUUAAUUAAGUCAGCGGUGAAAGUUAGUGGCUCAACCAUAAGAUUGCCGUUGAAACUGGUUGACUUGAGUAUAUGUGAGGUAGACGGAAUGCGUGGUGUAGCGGUGAAAUGCAUAGAUAUCACGCAGAACACCAAUUGCGAAGGCAGCUUACUAAACAAUAACUGACGCUGAGGCACGAAAGCGUGGGGAGCAAACAGGAUUAGAUACCCUAGUAGUC
rnacentral:rRNA from 1 species